UACGUAGGGUGCAAGCGUUGUCCGGAAUUACUGGGCGUAAAGCGCACGUAGGCGGACUAUUAAGUCAGGGGUGAAAUCCCGGAGCUCAACCCCGGAACUGCCUUUGAUACUGGUAGCCUAGAGAUCGGAAGAGGUGAGUGGAAUUCCCAGUGUAGAGGUGAAAUUCGUAGAUAUUGGGAAGAACACCAGUCGCGAAGGCGGCUCACUGGUCCGAUACUGACGCUGAGGUGCGAAAGCGUGGGGAGCAAACCGG
rnacentral:rRNA from 1 species